rnacentral:rRNA from 1 species
AUGAAUUGUGUGCAGAUCGAGGAGAGCAAUGAGAUGGGCACGGAGGUGCUCCCGGCCGUUGACAACAAGGGCAAGCAGCCCCUUCAUCCAAUGCCCGACGAGGUUGUGCUGCCGCCCACCGCCGAGGAAGAACCGAAGACGCCGGAGGCUGGCGAGGACGAGCGCAUGGAGGAGCCCCCCAGCAACAAGCAUCGCAACUACGGCCACUACCAUGAGGAGGAUGGCCCAACUCACUUCUACAAGGUCAUCCUUCCACCGAAGCUUGAGUGCAUCCCCAUGCCCUGGACUUCACCAAGCACUUCGUCGCGGUGCCGACGGAGUUCAAGCUCAGGAACAACACCGGCUGCUCUUGGAAGGUGA